UUAGCUUACUUCAUAAAAGCUUUAUAUUUUAGAAGCUAGAAGACCUGGAUGCCUCAUACUUUGUAUAUAGAUGCCUUAUGUUACGAAGUUUCCAUCUGUCAUAUGUCCAUUUUCCUUGACCUCAUUUUCAUGGUUCAGUGACUACUUGAAAAAAAAGUCAACAUUUUUUGUUAUGUUAAUUUCUUUCUUGUUAUGAGUAAUAGGAUAACUAUAUUUAUUAUGUGCGUACCUUGCAAGGUCCUCAUGCCCGUCAGACAAAUUUCAUUUGACCUCGACCUCAUUUCAUGGAUCAGUGAACAAGGUUAAGUUUUAGUGGUCAAGUCCAUAUAUCAGAUACUAUAAGCAGUAGGUCUACUAUAUUUGGUAUAUGGAAUGAUUGUAAGGUGUACAUGUCCAACUGGUAGGUGUCAUCUGACCUUGACCUCAUUUUCAUGGUUCAGUGGUCAAAGUUAAAUUUUUGAGUUUUGGUCUUUUUUUCUAAUACUAAAGGCAAUAGGUCAACUAUAUUUGGUGUAUGGAAAUAUUUUAUGAUGUACAUGUUAGUCUUGCAGGUUUUAUUUGACCUUGACCUCAUUUUCACAGUUCAUUUCUCAGUGUUAAGUUUUUGUGUUUUGGUCUGUUUUUCUUCAACUUUAAGCAAUAGAUCAACUAUAUUUGUUGUAUGGAAGGAUUGUAAGGUGUAUAUGUCUGUCUGGCAGGUAUCAUCUGACCUUGACCUCAUUUUCAUUGUUCAUUGGUCAAUGUUAAGUUUUCAUGGUUAAGUUUGUUUCUUAGAUACUAUUAGCAAUAGGUCAACUAUAUUUAAUGCAUACAUUGAUUGUAAGGUGUACAUGUCUGUCUGGCAUGGUUCAUCUGACCUUGACCUCAUUUUCAUGGUUCAUUGGUCAAUGUUAAGUUUUCUUGGUUAAGACUGUUUCUUAGAAACUAUAAGCAAUAGGUCAACUAUGUUUGGUUUAUUGAAUGAUUGUUAGGUGUACAUGUAUUUCUCGUUUGGUUUAUCUGACCUUGACCUCAUUUUCUUGGAUCAUGUUAAGUUUAUGUGUUACGUAGUAAAGCUUUAUAUUUAGGACUGUCAGUAACUGCUAGUAGUCUGUUAUUUAUGUAUUAUUGUCAUUUUGUUUAUUUUCUUUUGUUUCCUAUUCUGACAUCGGACUCGGACUUCUCUUAAACUGAGUUUUACUGUGCGUACUGUUGUACGUUUGUUUUUUCUACAUUGGCUAGAGGUAUAGGGGGAUGAUUGAGAUCUCAAAAAACAUGUUUAACCCCGCCGCAUUUUUGCGCCUGUCCCAAGUCAGGAGCCUCUGGCCUUUGUUAGUCUUGUAUCAUUUUAAAUUUAGUUUCUUGUGUAUAAUUUGGAGUUUAGUAUGACGUCCAUUAUCACUGAACUAGUAUACAUAUUUGUUUAGGGGCCAGCUGAAGGACGCCUCCGGGCGUGGUAGUUUCUCGCUGCAUUGAAGACCCAUUGGUGGCCUUCGGCUGUUGUCUGCUCUAUGGUCGGGUUGUUGUCUCUUUGACACAUUCCCCAUUUCCAUUCUCAAUUUUAUCAACAUAAAAUCAAUGGUUAGUAAAGAAGGCGAGACAUUUCAGCGUGUGCACUCUUGUUACCAUUUUUUUGGCGUUUUUCCUUGUAUGAUAUUAAUUAUAAUAGAUAGAUAGAAACUUAAAUAAUCAAAAAUGAUAAGCAAGACAAGACCUACUAACAAGUCAAAUUUUGCUGAUAUAAUAAGUAGACUGUUACUCUUUAUAGGUGUUUUUUUACCCUCUUUUGUGUUUAGAGCAAAAGCUAAAUAAGAUCAUGAAGAUAAGAGAGAAACUAAACAGACUUCAAUGAUCAGCAAUAUAAGAUACAAAAAAAACCAGAGAUUUUUGUCAUUAAUUCUAUUCUCAUCUACAAUGUUGGAGAGUGUCCCCUGUUGAAUAUGCAUAUAGACCAAGGUGAGCGACACAGGCUCUUGAGAGCCUCUAGUUUUGUCCCAUACAAGAAUAUAUAUGGUUUAGGGGUGGGGAUCUCGACCUUUUACAAGUUCUAACACAGGAGGGGGUGGGGUGACCCCCGGGUACUCGCCUUUUAUUUAAUUUGAUUUGUUUUAUUGUCCCAUACAAGAAUAUAUAUGGUUUCAGGGUGGGGAUCUUGACCGUUUACAAGUUUUCAAAAAGAAAGGGGGUGGGGGUGACCCCCCUGAACUACCCCUAUAUUUCAUUUGAUUUGUUUUAUUGUCCCAUACAAGAAUAUAUAUGGUUUAGGGGUGGGGAUCUCGACCGUUUGCAAGUUCUCAAACAGGAGGGGGUGGGGGUGACCCCAGGGGACUCGCCUUUUAUUUCAUUUAAUUUGUUUUAUUGUCCCAUACAAGAAUAUAUAUAGUUUCCAGGUGGGGAUCUUGACCGUUUACAAGUUUUCAAAAAGAAAGGGGGUGGGGGUGAACCCGGGGACUCCCCCAAUAUUUCAAUUGAUUUGUUUUAUUGUCCCAUACAAGAAUAUAAAUUGUUUAGGGGUGGGGAUCUCGACCGUUUACAAGAUAAAAGCACAUUCUCAAAUUGAAGGAGGGUGGGGGUAAGAAUAUAUAUGGUUUAGGGAGACUUAAUUAUAUACAAAAUGUCUAAUAAUGAACAGUAAAUUUCAAACUUCAUUUAUACAGUCCUACUAGUAAAUUUCAAAUUAUUUACAUACAGUCCUACAGAUCUUAUCAGAAAACAGAAAAUUUUCUAAUAAAUCUGUCACUCCAACAAUUAUCAUAUGCUAAGAUAUUUCCCAGAUCUAAUUAAUAAUGAAAAUCAUACUUGCAAAUCUGAAGUGUUAUUUCCCUUUGAACAGAACUAUGGUUUAACAUAGUACUCUAACAUUACAUAUAUAAUAAUUAAUAAUGCAAUUAACUUCAAAAUGUCUAAUAAUAUAGCUUAUAAUCAUCACCACUUAGGAAAUAGAAAAUUUCAAAUAAAUCUGUCACUCCAAUUUUUAUUGUGAGAUAAGACAUUUACCAUCUGCUUAGUCAUAAUAUGAUAACAAGAGAAAAAUAUUUAAAAAUACCACUUUUGGAUAUUAAAAAUGGCGAUAACUCAAAAAGGAGAAAUACUAAAAUCGUGAAAAUUGAACUUGACCUUCGCCCUUCCCUAGAUUUUCCAUCAAACAUGAUGGAAUUUUGUGAUGGAAAAAAUGCCAUCACAUUCCAUCAUGUUGAUGGAGUAUUGGAACAACUUUCCAUCAACUUUCCAUCAAUGCUGGAAAAUGGUUGAUGGAAAAGGUUUGAUGGAAUUUGUGUUCAUGAUGAUGGAAAAUUGAUGGCAUAAUUUCCAUCUGAUGGAUAAUUGAUGGUAUUUUUGCCAUCUGAUGGAUAAUUGAUGGUAUUUUUGCCAUCUGAUGGAAAACUGAUGGUAAUUUUGCUAUCAGAUGGAAAACUGAUGGAACAUUUUCCAUGUAAUGGAAAACCAAUGGAAUAUUUCCAUUACAUGUAAAAUGCAUAGAAACUUGAUGGAGAAUUGACCAUCAGAUGGAAUUUGAUGGAUGAGUAAGGAGAAUGUCUUUAGAAAAUCUUUCCAUUUAUGGCAUUUUCUGUGAUUAAAUAAACAAUAUUUGUUCUCUGUCGUCUAUAGGUAGUCCUGUUACAUGUGUGUAUCUUUUCAUUCAGUGUCCCAUUGAACUCGCUGUCCUUAAAGUUGAAUUUGUUCAUGGCAAAUUCUGCAAAAUAAAAGUAAAAGAAUCUAGCAUAUAAAAGAAUAAGUUAACAUUGUACAGAUAUAAAGUUAGUUAGUAACAUUUGUUGUCAAUUCUGAAAUUAUCAAAUGAAAAUAACACUUUUUGAAAAGAUUUGUAUUAAUGUGUCACUUGCAGGGUCAAUUUCUAAGAGUGUCAAAUCCUUCUAGAAAUUUAAUAUUCAGAGGUGGAUUUAGGAAAGGGGGCUCCCCCUUUCUGAGCUUUAGGUCUACAUAACUUAUUGCAUAGAAGUUUUAUAAGUCUUACUCCUAAGUAAUGUUGACUUAAUUGCCACCUUCACCACCCUGGUUCAGCAGCUGAUAUAUAACUGUACAAUACAUUAAACCUCAUUUCAGUACUAAAUUAUCAUCAUUAUAAUAAGUGACUGUCCAUAGAAAUAAAGAGGUUGUCCUUUCUUUUUUGUUUAAUAUUUGUUUUUCAUAAUCAUUGUACUAUAACAUAAUGGGUCUUGCCCAUGUUUUAUAUCAUACUUUUGGUGGGUAGUGUAUAUACUAUACAUGUAUAUAUAAAGAUAUAUUGUUUUACCAUUUGUGGAUAUAUAAAUGUCAUAUUGUCAGUCACACCACAGAUCUCUAAUUUUAUAGCAAAAUUACUUUUUCAGAAGUACUAUGUUAUAAAACAAAUAAUGUUUUAAAAUGAUACAAAAUAUGACUCAUGUCCUACACAAUUUUAUGAUAUGUAUAUGCAUAUUUUUUGUGUCAUUUGGUCUCUUGUGGAGAGUUGUCUCAUUGGCAAGCAUACCACAUCUUCUUUAUUAAUACUUUUUAUAAAUCUAUGACCUUCUUUUUUUCUUGACUCUUGAAAGUUAAUAAAACACUUUAAAUGUCACUACUUUGAACUAAAAGAGCAUGCACAUAUAUUCAAAAUUGUGGAAAUUCUAAUACAUUGUACUUACCAAAAGAUAUAAUCCAAAAUAUGUGUACACACUAAUCUUCCUAAAUCCAAGAGACAUAUGUCAUCAGAAGAAGGCAUGUUUACAAAAUGUUCAAAAGAGCCAAAGACCAAAAAAUUAAGUUCAGCGCCUUUUAUGGAGACAAAUACUACAUUCAUACAAAGGCUUUUGUGUAUUUCAAUUGAAAUAAUAGCAAGCUUAUUUUAAAGAUUAUAAUAAGGGAAAAAUUCUCGUCAGUACUUGCCAAACUUCACAAAUUUAAAGUUGUUUAUAAAAGUUAUAUCAUGAAUGAUGGUAACAAUUACGUUUUUUUGGGUAAUCAGUUAUACCGCAUGUUGCUGUUAUUACCAUAGGAAAACAAUCGAGACGUCCAAAAAUAUAUAUAGGCGGUAACACUACACAGUUUUGUACAUACACAUGGCGACACGAAACACAAUCGGAAAUCCAUUUUACGAUAUUAAAUGUUUCAAAACGGAGUUGAAAAUAUUGUGCGCCACGUGGGCACUUACAUUUGUCACUCUAUGCGGCAUUUCUGGUCGAAAAGGGCAAUUGGCGCAAGGCGGAUGUCUUCCCGAUCACUGUGUUUAAUAGCUUAUUUAAAUGGCUGUCAAGUUCCCAUUAAAAAAAAUUGACUUGUAUUUAUUUUAAUGUCAGAUCGUUAAAACUCCUAUCAAAAUUAGAUACUAGUACUUACUACAAGCAAACUUGUUGACCAUUUUUAAUGGCUGCUUAGAUUGUUAAAUUACAGUCAAAAUGGUUCCCACCCCCACCCUCUCCUCCUCAUGUUCACUAAUACCCUUAAGCAUUUCAUUGUCUUAAUUCAAUAAUUGUAUUUAGAUACACAUUGUUCACCAUGGCUUAAUGAUGCUCGCUGUUCAGUUUCAAAUAUAAAUAAAAAUCAGAUAUAAAGGAUACAUGUUAAGUUCUUCUAGACCUCCUUUCUGUAAUUAAAUUUGCUGUUUCUGUACUUCCAACUAGUAUUGCUGAGUAAAGGUAACUGGAAUCUGCAUUCAAUCUGUUUACUAUCAAAAUUGGCAGCUCCAUUUUAAAAUCAUUAAAUACCCUAAAAUAAAAAAAAAAUCCACAAAGAAUCAAUUGUUCAAGGCGUUUUGAAGCAAUAAAUUCAAUAGAAAUAUUAUUGCAUGUUUAUACAGUACAUGGGAAGCCAUUUGGAAUCAAAUUAAUUACCCUCCCCCUUUUUUUAUCCCCUGAAGAUUAAAAACCGGUGACUUAUUAUUUUCACCAAAUAACCAUUCACACAACUCAAUAUUUUUUUACAUGUCUACCAGUUAUGCCUGUUAUGUGACAACAAGAUUAUUCAUUGUCAAAAACUCAUGUUAAAAAUAAAUAUAAUUUUCAGUUUAUGAUUUCAGACUUUCUGAUGUUGAUUUGCUCAAAUAAAAACAAUACAAAAAUCAUAGUUCCUCAAUAAAUUAUAAUUUAUAAUCAUAAUAUACACAUGUUGAAUUAAAUUUUUAAUGCACUUAUCUGAAAACAUCUGCAUCAGAUUUUCCAGUUUGAUCUCCAUAUCAGCGUAAUCACAUUUUGAUGACGUAUUUCUCAAGUGCGCUAACGUCGAAGUGACAAUCUCGCCCCAUAUUAUAUCGACCAGAAAUUGAUCCGUUCCCGUACCGGUAUUGUUGUUGUUGUUGUGCUGGUAUAUUCCUCCGUUGACUUCGGAGCACCCUGUCGUAAACAGGUAUAAGUUUACCAAUUGAAAAGAUUGGUGGUGGUGUUCGGAUAAAAAAAAAAAAAAAAAAAAAAUUAAA